rnacentral:rRNA from 1 species
GCGAGCCCACCUCCCACCCGUGUUUACUGUACCUUAGUUGCUUCGGCGGGCCCGCCAUUCAUGGCCGCCGGGGGCUCUCAGCCCCGGGCCCGCGCCCGCCGGAGACACCACGAACUCUGUCUGAUCUAGUGAAGUCUGAGUUGAUUGUAUCGCAAUCAGUUAAAACUUUCAACAAUGGAUCUCUUGGUUCCGGCAUCGAUGAAGAACGCAGCGAAAUGCGAUAACUAGUGUGAAUUGCAGAAUUCCGUGAAUCAUCGAGUCUUUGAACGCACAUUGCGCCCCCUGGUAUUCCGGGGGGCAUGCCUGUCCGAGCGUCAUUGCUGCCCAUCAAGCACGGCUUGUGUGUUGGGUCGUCGUCCCCUCUCCGGGGGGGACGGGCCCCAAAGGCAGCGGCGGCACCGCGUCCGAUCCUCGAGCGUAUGGGGCUUUGUCACCCGCUCUGUAGGCCCGGCCGGCGCUUGCCGAACGCAAAUCAAUCUUUUUCCAGGUUGACCUCGGAUCAGGUAGGGAUACCCGCUGAACUUAAGCAUAUCAAUAAGCGGAGGAA